ensembl:lncRNA
UGCAAAGUCAAAACACCACCUAGGAAUUCAUACAGUCCUGCACACAAGCCAUGAUUCCAUUAGUCUGCAGCCAGACCCUGAGGAAGACAAACAUAGUCAUGCAAGUCCUUUAACAGAAGAUAUAAUUACUAAAGAGACUUUUAAGGACUGAACUUCUUUUUAGCUAGAUUAGAAAUUAAUUUGCAUGCUUUGGUAAUUUUUCAUCUUCAGAAUGAUUGCAUUCAUCAGUAAGAUUGUUCUUUGUAACUGACAUCGAGAGAUAAGUUGUAGCUUUACAGAGGAAAAAGAGCAGAGUACCAACACGGAUCACCCUCAGCGCCACCAGUGCAGUCAUCCCAACCAGGACCCCAUCGACAGACUACCACCAGGAAAGCGAGAGGUCAUGGAGAAGUAUUUUAAACCUGUUCAGAGCCCAGCUGAGCUGGAUGAGCUCAAGCCACGGAAAAUCCACCAUCAUCGCCACCAUCACCUUCACCAUAGCCAAGACACUCAGUCACACAGGUACUCAAAGUUUGAUGACACUGACAGGAACACAGAUGACAGCCGAGGACAGCCUCGCCACCAUCAGCACAGUCACUAUCUCCAUGAAAGCCCUCGCCACGAUGCUCACUAUCGCCGUCAGUUUCACCACAGUGAAGAGGAUGAGAUCAUUUACGACCAUGACACCCCUGUAACUCUCUCAAGGGCUUCCUCUUCUUCCCUCUCAUCCUCAUCCUCUUCCUCCUGGUACACAGAGUCAAGCGCAAAUGAUCCUUUCACUCUUUCCCAUGCUGAGCGCCCACAGCAUUCUCUGUCCUGCUCCAAUAUCCCAGAUGUGCGCAUAGGUUUCCGGGAAGAUGAAUGCAGUGAGCCCAUUGUCUUCGCUACCGUCAAACACAGCAAAAAAGGCAAGCUGCUUCAUGAAAGCUCACAGCAAAGAGGGAACACUGGCUUUUCUGCUCUUGACAGAGGUCACAGUCGAAGCGAUGAAGCCUUUUUUCAGAGUAAUGAUAGUGGUGGAAGAGAACAAUCUAAGCAAAAUAACUAUGGGCCUUUGUAUAAGUCAGCUAGUUUGAACCGAUGUCUGGCUUUCAGUGAGGAAAACAUUCUUUUAGGGGUCUCCGGUGCCCCCAAGAGAGCAGUAUCUUCAAACCAGCUACCCAGCAAAGGGAUCCUCAAGAAGAAGGAGACUGAUACUGACAUUCGUAAGACUAAAUCAAUGGAGGUGUUGUCCCCAAGAGUUGCUAAAGAACAACGUCCUGGGCAGAAGGGUAAAGAAAUUACUCAAGCUAAUACAGAGCAAGCCAGGGCCAAUUUUCUGCAGGAGAAAUUACAGUUCUCUGCAUUUCUAGAUGAGAUUACAAAGAGCGUUAUAAGUCCAUCGUAUCUCACCAGCUUGGGUGUUAAUAAUAAUAAAACUCCUGCAAAAACAUCUGCCUCAGCCCCCACAUCUAACCCAGUUAAGCCUCAGCUCCCACCAAAAAAAACCAGAAAAGCCCCAGAGGAGAAGACGGGUCAGCAUCCCAAACUGGCCAGCAGACAGGAGAAAGCACCUUUUAGUAGUUCUCGAAAACACUCAGACUGCUCCAAUCCUGACAAACUGAUUUCAUGUGCCAUGAGGAACCACCACGGUAGCCCACCGCCUCGUCACCACCCGCACUCUGCCAGCCAAAGCCCACAGCACGGAAGCAACCGUAAGGACAGGAGGCCUACAUCAGGAGACAGAUUUGGCAGAGGUGGCCCUCACCUCACCGAUGAAACUAGCACCAGCCCUGAAACCAGUCAGUCCAAACAACUCCACCACCACCACCACCACCACCAAAAACAGCAGCAUAGCCAGCAUCCACAUAACCAGCACUUCCACCAACAGUCCUAUCUAGACUCUGGUCACCAAGAACCGAGCAACUCGCCUCCAACUUCAGCCCAAGGUGCAGAGGCAGGGGUCGGAUCUGAGUCUUCAUCCACAAAAUCAGAUUCAUCCAGGGCCAGGGACACAGCCUCCACAGCUACCAGCCACAGCUCAGAUCAGAGUGGUCGACAUCAGCCACAACAUGCUGGGCACUCUCAGCAGCACAGGGAUGUGCUGUGUGAGGCUGACCAUCUUCAGGCACUGCAGGAGGAGAAUGCCGAUCUCCACCAGAACUUGCUGCAGACAGUGGUUUGCAUUGAGAGCUUGGAGGCAGAGCUGCAGAGGACCAGAGACGAGCUCAGUCAUGUCAAGGAGAAAUACAAAAGCCUUCUGCAAACACAUACUGGGACCAAGCAGGCCAAUAACUUGCUGGGGGAGCACCUGCACAUAGCGUCCGAGAGCUUGAGCAGUGAAAGGAAGUACUUGCUUAAUCGUGUGUCCAACCUGAGCUCAGAGCUGGAAGACGCCCACAGGACCAUUGCAGCCCUGGAGAACAUUAAUGUGCCAUGCUUGAUAAAGGAACUACUGGAGAAGCAUUUUGAUUCCGCUGAGGCUGUACAGAAGUUUCUCACAACCUCUGCUGCAAACAGCCAUUCUGCCACCUCUCAGCAAACAGAUGGCCAGCCACACCCUCCUAAAGCAGACAAAGCAGCACAUGAUUGGCUGACUAAACCAGAGGCAGGUCCACAGAGGGUCACAGCUUUCACACCCUUUAAACAGAGUGUAACAGCAACAGGAAAUGAGUGCGGCCUCUCGGGUCAGCAUGAGCCGAGCCACAGCCUGCCUUUCUCUGUGGCUGAGAUCAGCACUGCUAUCUAUAAGAAAAUGGCUGCCAGUUAUGCUGCCAGGCCACAGCCUAUCUACCCCCAAAGCCAACAGCAGUCCUCUUUGGCCACUAAUCAUGCUGACACCCUUCCAGACCUCAGGCAGGGCCAUGUAGCUAGUGAUAACUGGGCCGGGAAGGAAGAGUUAAAGGUAACUCUUUUGGAGCAGGACACUGAUGAUGUGAACUCUGUGUCAGCCCAGCAGAUCCUGGAUGAUUUCAUGCAGCACCUGCAGUUACACAAGGAGGCUGGUGAAAGGAAGGAGCAACAGAGUGGGCAGAAGUGUAGGGCAGAAGUAACAGAGUGAAAAUGCCACAGGCACAGUGGACGCUCAUCUUAAUGCUUCGAAAUGUGCAUUUAUUCAUGUGUCUCAUGAAUAUCUGUCAGAUGGAAAUACUGUAUUUUGAAAAUGCUGUGGUUAAGAAAACUUGAACAUUAUGUUAUUUUAGGCUAUCUGUGGGCAACAAAGGAGGCCUUUGCAUAAUAGUCAGAAGAUUUUCAUACAUAAAAAGAAAGAAAGAGCCACAGCUACAUAAAAAACGGAGAAAAAUGGCAGUAAAAUAACAAAAUAACCAUUUAUUUUAUUAAAAAUAUGCUUUAUGUAUAAGUUCUGUAGUAUUAAUUUACUGUCUAUUUUCUUUUACCUUUUAGUUUUCUUCCAAAUUGAUAGUGCAGGCAAAAGGUCAUGGGGGUAGCUGGAGCCUUUCCUAGCAGAUAGGUCACCAGUCUGACGUAGCACUGACACAGAGAGACAACUAGGGCCAGUUUAGAAUCACCAGUUCACCUAACCCCACUAAUUGCACGUCGAACCUUCUCGCUAACCACCUCGUCACCAUGCUGCCCACUUUAUACAGACUACAGAAGUGUUUAAUUGUCUCUGAUAAUAGAUUAUUGACACUGAUGGGAUCAAAUGCGAUCAUUUUUAACAAAUUUAAAAAACAGUGAAAGACUGGGAAUUUAAAAGCCGGAUACCUCAAGGCCUUCUGCUGAGUCAACAAUGAAACUAUAUUCAGUGAAUGACUUUGAGUGACAUCGAGAAAACAACAUGAUUAAGGAAGCUAAUGCCCUUUUGGAACCCGCUUAAGUCUCGAGUCAAGGCAUCUCUUUCUUAAAGCAGCAGGUUAUUGUACCAUCAGUGUCACUGGAGACUGUUUUAAUCUACAUUUGUUCAUAAUAAUUCAACCAGACUCAGUUGUUCGUGUUUCUGCUAUAUAUUUGUGUAAAAAUAACUCUUCAGGGACUGCUUUGGAUUUUUCAAACAGUCUAAAUAGCCCUCAUGUGAAAACCUCUUAAAAUUAAUAAGUGUACAAUGAAAAAUACUAUUUUGAGUUUACUGUGCAUUGAUUGGUUUGUGUAAAUAUCCAGAGAUUCAGUGUAAAGGUCUUUAAAUCAUAAAAAGAAAGUCAAAUAUUAUGAUUCAGAAAUGUUUUCUUUGUACUAUUGCAAGGUCUUUACCUUACAAUGCAAAGUGCCUUGAGGCAACUGUUGUUGUGCUUUGGCACUAUAUGAAUAAAAUUGGAUUGAAUUGAAUUGUUGACACGGGAAAAUCCUUUCAAGCUGAUGUAACUGACAAAUGUGUACAGUUAAAAUACAAAGACAGCUAUUGUGAUGGUGUUGAUAAGCUUAACAGCAUGUGUACACCUGGAAUCGAUGUGUUCCUUUAAUUCUGUGCUUAGCAUUCUUCUGGUAUUAAUGUUGUUUUAAUCUAAAUCUCUCUCUACUUUUUGUCAUUAAAAUACUUCUUCUUUGUGUAUUUGUAUCUAUUCUACCAAUAAAGAUAGUUUUGUUGAUGCAGUAUAUCAGAUUACAAACAUUUGUUCAUUAUUGAUGAUUUCUUCCUCACUUUCUUGUUGUCAAAUUCAAAUAAUAUAUGGCAUGUUUUUAUAUGGCAAAAAACAAACAAACAAACAAACAAACAAACAAGCAAAAAAACCCAAAAAACAGUUGGAAGGUUGUGUUUUAAUCCCCGGCUUCUCCAGCCUGCAUGUCAAAGUGACCUUGGGCAAGAUAAUGAACUCCGUGUUGCAUUCAUUGAAAUCAGAGUUUAAGGAACAGAAAUGCAUCUGAAUGUGUGUGCUUCAAUGGGUGAAUGAGGCUUGUACUAAAAAGCACUUUGAGUGCUCAGUUAGAGAAGCCUUCAGUUAAUCCCAAAUGCAGCAGCAAGAGUACUGACAGGGACUAGAAAUAGAAAGCAUAUUUCUCCUAUACUGGUUUCUCUUCAUUGGCUCCCUGUUAAAUCCAGAAUUGAAUUCAAAAUCCUCACAUACAAAGUCUUAAAUAAUCAGGCCCCAUCAUAUUCUAAUGACCUUAUAGUACCAUAUCACCCCAUUUGAGCACCUCGCUCUUGCACUGCUGGCUGGGAGGCAGAGCCUUCAGCUUUCAGGCUCCUCUUCUAUGGAACCAGCUUCCUGUUUCGAUUCAGGAGAUGAACACCGUCUCUACUUUUAAGAUUAAGCUUAAAACUUUCCUCUUUGCUAAAGCAUAUAGUUAGGACUGGAUCAGGCGACCCUGAAUCCUCCCUUAGUUAUGCUGCAAUAGGUGUAGGCUUCUGGUGGGUUCCCAUGAUAUAUUUAAUAUUUCUUCUUCAUGUGUUAAUAGACCUCUCUGCAUUGAAUCAUACUUGCCUCUCUUCCACAACACGUCUUUAUCCUGUUUUCCUUCUCUCACCCCAACCGGUCGCAGCAGAUGGCCCCGCCCCUCCCUGAGCCUGGUUCUGCUGGAGCUUUCUUCCUGUUAAAAGGCAGUUUUUCCUUCCCACUGUCGCCAAAGUGCUUACUCAUAGGGGGUGAUAUGAUUUUGUUUUGUUUUUUCUGUAUGUAUUAUUGUAGAGAUACCUUACAAUGUAAAGCACCUUGAGGCAACUGUUGUUGUGAUUUGGUGCUGUAUAAAUAAAAUUGAAUUGAACUGAACUGAACUGAAUUGAAUUGAAUUGAAGAAAAGUGCUACAUGUAUGCUGCUGACAU